GACGGAGGAUGCAAGUGUUAUCCGGAAUCACUGGGCGUAAAGCGUCUGUAGGUGGUCAAAUAAGUCAACUGUUAAAUCUUGAGGCUCAACCUCAAAAUCGCAGUCGAAACUAUUAGACUAGAGUAUAGUAGGGGUAAAGGGAAUUUCCAGUGGAGCGGUGAAAUGCGUAGAGAUUGGAAAGAACACCGAUGGCGAAGGCACGUUACUGGGCUAUUACUGACACUCAGAGGCGAAAGCUAGGGGAGCAAAUGGG
rnacentral:rRNA from 1 species